AAAAUAAAAUGCAGGUUACUAUUUAUUUAAGUGAAUAGUAACCGUCACCAUACACCUUUAAUAUAAAACUCGUUUUUCCCCAAAAUUACACCAAUAUGGUCCAAAAUUAAAAAACCUAUACAACACUAUUGGAAAGCACCAAAUUACACCAUAAAAAUCUCAGUCCUCAAAUCAUCCCCUCCUUACAAAAGUUUUAUUCCCGAAACUUGACUAUGUACCUACCGUGAUCAAAUUCGGAUAUCGUUCCAC
rnacentral:lncRNA from 1 species